AUGAAGCACCGCUUGCGGUGUGGAUUAGUGGCGAACGGGUGAGUAACACGUGAGUAACCUGCCCUUGACUCUGGGAUAAGCCUGGGAAACUGGGUCUAAUACUGGAUAUGACCUGUCACCGCAUGGUGGUGGGUGGAAAGCUUUUGUGGUUUUGGAUGGACUCGCGGCCUAUCAGCUUGUUGGUGGGGUAAUGGCCUACCAAGGCGAUGACGGGUAGCCGGCCUGAGAGGGUGACCGGCCACACUGGGACUGAGACACGGCCCAGACUCCUACGGGAGGCAGCAGUGGGGAAUAUUGCACAAUGGGCGCAAGCCUGAUGCAGCGACGCCGCGUGAGGGAUGACGGCCUUCGGGUUGUAAACCUCUUUCAGUAGGGAAGAAGCGAAAGUGACGGUACCUGCAGAAGAAGCGCCGGCUAACUACGUGCCAGCAGCCGCGGUAAUACGUAGGGCGCAAGCGUUAUCCGGAAUUAUUGGGCGUAAAGAGCUCGUAGGCGGUUUGUCGCGUCUGCUGUGAAAGACCGGGGCUCAACUCCGGUUCUGCAGUGGGUACGGGCAGACUAGAGUGAUGUAGGGGAGACUGGAAUUCCUGGUGUAGCGGUGAAAUGCGCAGAUAUCAGGAGGAACACCGAUGGCGAAGGCAGGUCUCUGGGCAUUAACUGACGCUGAGGAGCGAAAGCAUGGGGAGCGAACAGGAUUAGAUACCCUGGUAGUCCAUGCCGUAAACGUUGGGCACUAGGUGUGGGGGACAUUCCACGUUUUCCGCGCCGUAGCUAACGCAUUAAGUGCCCCGCCUGGGGAGUACGGCCGCAAGGCUAAACUCAAGGAAUUGACGGGGGCCCGCACAA
rnacentral:rRNA from 1 species